UGGGGAAUAUUGGACAAUGGGCGCAAGCCUGAUCCAGCCACGCCGCGUGAGUGAUGAAGGCCCUAGGGUUGUAAAGCUCUUUCGCCAGGGACGAUACUGACGGGAAGAUCCGAAUAGGGAUCGGCUCACUACGUGCCAGCCGCCCAGGUCCUACGAAGGGUCCAAGCGUUAUGCGGAUUUAUUGGGUGUAGCGAGUUGCGCAGGCGGUUGGGUCAGCGGGUCUGGAGGAAAUGAUGCGUGCAUAACUUC
rnacentral:rRNA from 1 species